AGACAGAGAAACCUUCAGAGAUGGAGUGUGAGAAGAGCCCACGCUUCUGCCAGCUUGUGAUUUAGAAAGAUGUGAAAAGAGAGGCCCAAAGAGCUCAAGGAAUUUGCCCUCUAUCAUAUCCCCAGCAGAUGGAGAGGAUUCAAACCCAGAAUUCUUAAGCAGUGCCUGGGAGUUCUUCCACAAUCUUAACAAUUACCCUCCACCACCCCUUGGGCCCUCAGUCCCCAGGAGCCUGGCCAGCCAAGACUCACAUCCUCAGGUGAGUGGCAACCUCCAGAAGUGGUUGUCUCAGAGUUAGCACCAUUAUUUAUGUUCUUCUUUUUGGUGUCGCUUGCUUCUGUACCAACACUAGGGUUGGCCUGGGGAUGGUAGUCUCUCAACUGUGGAAAGGAAGAGCAGUGAUAUUCAUGAGAACUACAAGCUCCUACAGUCACAUCCUGCUUUACAGUUUCUACAAAAUACUCUUCUGCACCAUCUGAUUUAGUGCCACCAACAACUGUAGGAAGUGUUGUCACAGUCAGUGACUGAGAGGGAUUGAUACCAUGGCUGAACAGAAGCCACUAAUGGAACUGAAACUCAGUCUUCUGACUCUGAGCUCUGGGAUUUUGCCACAAGUCAGCAGCUGCCAGGGACCAAAACCAGAGGCAAAGGCAGAAAAGCAAAUAUUACGUAGGCAGGCACUGUACACCGUGUGGUUUAGAGUCAUACACUCUCACACGUCUGUUAGUGUGAAGAAGUGCACCACUACCUCUCAAACGUUUAUAUUAAUGUAUGCUCAUGGCAGAAGGCAGCCUUUCUGUGAAACCUGGGAACUUAACACAAAGAGGACAACCCAACCCUCAUUUCAGAGAGAAGUCUUGUAUAUUCUUAUAAAUUUGUGUGACUGUCACCCCUAAGUACAUUAAUGUUUUGUUUCUCAGUAGACUCAAAGGCAACUGAUGCUUCAGAAAGAUGCCCCAUAUUUAUCCUGUGGCACUCGAAGUACCCCAGGUGGAGAUGAGAUGAGGAAGAUUCAAGCUGUCAAGUUCAGUUUCCCAAGAUCUGUUCCACAGAAGAUAGGCAGAUCUCACUGCAGAAACCACUGACUGAGGGGCACUCUGGUCCCAGAACAAUGCAGAAUUCAAGUCUGAGGUGGAGAACUCAGAAACAAUGUUCGAGUCUCUCUGGAGAGUAGAAGCCUGGGAGAAAAUCAAACUAAACCCGUUCUCCCGUUGCCA